rnacentral:rRNA from 1 species
CCUACGGGAGGCUGCAGUGGGGAAUAUUGGACAAUGGGGGCAACCCUGAUCCAGCCAUGCCGCGUGUGUGAAGAAGGCCCUCGGGUUGUAAAGCACUUUCAGUGAGGAAGAACGCCUGGUGGUUAAUACCCAUCAGGAAAGACAUCACUCACAGAAGAAGCACCGGCUAACUCCGUGCCAGCAGCCGCGGUAAUACGGAGGGUGCGAGCGUUAAUCGGAAUUACUGGGCGUAAAGCGCGCGUAGGUGGCUUGAUAAGCCGGUUGUGAAAGCCCCGGGCUCAACCUGGGAACGGCAUCCGGAACUGUCAAGCUAGAGUGCAGGAGAGGAAGGUAGAAUUCCCGGUGUAGCGGUGAAAUGCGUAGAGAUCGGGAGGAAUACCAGUGGCGAAGGCGGCCUUCUGGACUGACACUGACACUGAGGUGCGAAAGCGUGGGUAGCAAACAGGAUUAAUACCCUUGUAGUC